UCAGCAGGGAGGCAGGCAGUCUGCCAGGCCAUGGGGGACCCGUCAGGGCUCUCACAGGAGGUGGCUUGGCCAGGGUGUGUGGCUGGACAGAAGGGGGGCUGGCCUCCCCAAUCCUCCCCUUGCCUGAGCAGCCCCUGAGUAGCCCUGGCUGCCCCUGUGCCCACUGGCGGGCACUCCCAGGCUGUGGGCCCUGCGGCUGGAGCUAAAAUUAGACUCAGCGGCCCAUGUGGGCUCUCAGGGUCGGUUGGGGUCAAGGCCUGGGUGCAGCCGGUGCCCCCUGCCUGGGGGGCUGGGAGUGCUCUGGGUCCUAGUCCUCUCCCACCCCGCCGCUGUCCCCCACUCAGGCAGCUCGGCCCCUCCCCCCCACCCCUCUCAGCUGGUCCUGCACCCUCUGACUUGCAGCUAUCCCGGUGCCGACACCGGGGACCCUGCCCCACGCUCCUGUCCCAUGGCCCCCCAGCCCUGCCGGGCGUCUCGGUCUUCUCCCCCGUUCCCUCUCAGGGCAGCAUCUGGCCUGACUGGAUCUCUUUCCCAGCCUGGCUCCUCCCCUGCCAGCCCUGAUUCGUUCCUGCCUGGGAGGCAGGGUCUCCUCUUAACCCAUUCCAAACCAGUUUCCUCGAUGGUCAAUAAUCCUCACCAGCAGGACCCACACCUCACAGAUGCCUCGCGCUAUCACAGCUUCUGAACCCACACAUCAACGCUCCAAGGCUGAGGUUUAGCACUGCCAUUUUUCACAGGAUUAGCCCCACCUCAUCCAGCUGCAGCCUUUUCAGGCCCACUUCUGGCACCUCUCACUCAGGUGUCCAGGUAGGUCUGCCCUUGCCUGGAGCUCUGGCGGGAAGGUCUUGAUGCUCAUCCUCCAGUCCAUAUGAAGGCACCGUCUCUGAGGAAAUCAGGAUCCAGGCAAUCACAGGACGAGGGGGGCGGGGAGCAUGGGAGUGCACCGAGAGACACCUGCCCUAACGCUUGAAGGACACAGCACCGCUCGGACUCCAAGGAAGAAGUUGCCACAGGGCAGAGGCAGAAGCGGGGAGCCAUGUGGGCCCA